UCGGCGUAUCAUUCAAUUAUUCAUUUACAUUAUUUUUAUGUUGUGACCUCUGAGCUCCAGAUUGGGACAGAGGGAAUCAGCAUAAUUUUUUGUGGUGCAUUUACUUGAUUGGUGCUUGGGGAUGUUUGAGGCAGAUUUGUUUCCGUCGUUUUGAGGCCAGCUUGCUGGUACCCAAACGGUGUUAGCAUUUUUUGUCUUGGGCAUUUGAGUAUGGCUCACGUGAAUUUAUUGGACAGAUCUGAGUGUAAGUUACGGUCGCAUGCGACACGUGCUUUUCAAUUAGUUCGGUCCAGUUAAUGCUCUCGUACUCGUUCCCCAUGUAAAAGCCGGUCAUCUAUCCGACCCGUCUUGAAACACGGACCAAGGAGUUUAUCGUGUGCGCAAGUUUUUGGGUGUUAAAAACYUAAAAGCGAAAUGAAAGUAAAUGACUCUUUAGAGUCUGAUGUGCGAUCUUGUAAAAAAGUGUAGCAUGGCCCCAUUCUAACUGUUUACAGUAGGGUGGCGGAAGAGCGUACGCGGUGAGACCCGAAAGAUGGUGAACUAUUCCUGAGCAGGACGAAGCCAGAGGAAACUCUGGUGGAAGUCCGAAGCGGUUCUGACGUGCAAAUCGAUCGUCUGACUUGGGUAUAGGGGCGAAAGACUAAUCGAACC
rnacentral:rRNA from 1 species